UCGAUCCGACCGAUUUGAACACCGGUUAGACCGGUUCCUUCAGAAUCAGCUAUUUUGAGGUCAUCUUGCCCCCCAGCCGAACUCACACAUCGUUCAGCUAUUUUAUUUGAAACAUGUCCAACAUCAAGGGCAAUAUGAUCAAUAGAACUAUCCGAUGAUUCUUCAAUGUUCGGCUUUUCUAUGUUUAGUGUCAAAUCUGGAUUUUUAUUUAAUCUACCAUCCUUUUUGAC
rnacentral:lncRNA from 1 species